AGCAGUCGCCACGGGAAUACGUAGGGCGCAAGCGUUGUCCGGAAUUAUUGGGCGUAAAGAGCUCGUAGGCGGUCUGUCGCGUCUGGUGUGAAAUCCCGAGGCUCAACCUCGGGCUUGCAUCGGGUACGGGCAGACUAGAGUGCGGUAGGGGAGACUGGAAUUCCUGGUGUAGCGGUGGAAUGCGCAGAUAUCAGGAGGAACACCGAUGGCGAAGGCAGGUCUCUGGGCCGCAACUGACGCUGAGGAGCGAAAGCAUGGGGAGCGAACAGGAUUAGAUACCCCCGUAGUCCCUGUCUCUUAUAC
rnacentral:rRNA from 1 species